AUGUCCGACCCCGUGGAUACCUCUAGCCCACUGAAGAAAGGACGCACCUUGUCUCGUUGCCGGUACGCGUCUCCCCACAGCGACGGCGGGAUGGCAGUCGAGAGACUCACCGACGACCUCCUCGUCGAGAUCCUCGCGCGUCUCCCGGUCAAGUCGCUCUGCCGCUUCAAGUGCGUCUCCAACCACUGGCUGGCCCUCAUCCACCACCCCGAACACCGCAAAAAGCUCCCCCAAACACCGGCCGGCUUCUUCUACGGCAGCGCCAACACCAGCGACUGGCUUCUGAAAUCCCCCGUCCGCUUCGCCGAUUUCCCGGGAAGAUGCUCCCCUCCGAUCGACACCUCCUGCGCCUUCCUGCCCAACCACCGGCGCGUCCAUCUGCUGGACUGCUGCAACGGCCUCCUCAUCUGCCGCUGGUACGUCUCAGCCCAGGGCGAUGAGUUCCAUUAUGUGGUGUGUAAUCCUGCCACGGAGAAGUGGACCGUGUUGCCGGACUCCGGCAAGCCCACCAGCGAGGUGGCCACCACACGUUUGGGCUUCGAUCCGGCCGUGUCGUCGCAUUUCUAUGUGUUUGAGUUGAUAAAUGAGCACGACCAGCUUUGGGACCCUGACAUUGUCGGGGUGGCAGUGUAUUCCUCUGAAACCGGAGGAUGGGUUUACAAGGAGAAGAAAUGGAAUGCAGACAUUAGGAUCAUUAAUCGUCAGUCUGCACCUGUCUUUCUUAACGGCUAUCUGCAUUUUGAAGCCGAUUGUGGUGGGAUAUCUCCUUGUCUAGCUGUGGUGGACACCAAGGGGGAAACAUGGAUGAACAUUGAUGUCCCUGACGCUGACGCUCUGCUUGAUGGUUUUAUUCAGCGGUCACAGGGUCGCCUGCAUUAUGCCAAUUUUCAGCAAGAUGAAGAUGGUUUUACCAUUCGACUGGUAGUUUAUGUUCUCGAGAACUAUCAAAGCAAGGAAUGGAUACUGAAGCAUAGCGUUGACACUUCGUACUUAUUUGGAGAAACAGAUUCUCAUUUCCGCCUCGACCAGGAUUUUGAAUGGAUUGCGAUUCAUCCAGAAUGCAACAUGAUAUUCUUCAAUGUUGGUUGGUUUAUCACAUUCACUUGCUAUAAUAUGGAUAGCGGGCAAGUCAAGCUGAUCUCUGGUCCUGUAGAUGGGAAGCCGCCAUAUAUGCCAUAUGUGCCGUUGUAUGCAGAGUUACAGCCGUUGCACAUUUGA
rnacentral:rRNA from 1 species